UUGAACACAUGGUUGAUAGCUAGCUAAAGUUGUCUCUUUCCUAAAUUAGCCAUGGAUGGAGAUAGGGUUUUGGACUUGUGGUUUUAGUUGAUUCUCCGUACUGGCCAAUGAUUAUAACGGGGAAUCUGACCCAACCAUACAUUCCUACAUUGUGCCCCUUGCCUGAGAGGAUGGAAGUUCAAUAUGUAUCUAGAUGUGGUAAGCCAGUGUAAACUAGCUAACGUUACCCAUGAAAUGAAGUUUUUAGCCAGGUAGCAAGACAACCAACUUAAAGCGUGUACUGUAUGACAGUGAUAGACCGUUUCGUCAACAUGAGAUAAAGGAUCAUGGCAUUGGCUUGAGUGAGUCAUGUUUUUUCUGCAAACAAAUCAGAACCAUGGACAACCACAUCAUAUUUAGCUUACAUUGAUUGGACUCGUUUUUGGUAUAUUUUAGUUGUCACUGCAUAAGACUACGCAUAGGUGAUUUGAUGUUGAAAUGGUGCUGGAAUAGUGGAGGCAGUAACUGUUUUUGUAACUCUCCAUGGUUCUAAAUCCAUAGUUGUUUAGUGGUCUGAAAAUGGCGGAAGCAUUAACUUGAUUGACCAUGCUGUAGGUCAUGUAACUGUCUGUUACGUGCCAUAUGCUUUGUGGAUUUCACCUGUGUGGUUGAAUUUAUUAUGCAGCACUGUCUUCUUAUUGUCUCUGCCUUAGGCCCACAGUGCAUUUGGAAAGUAUGCAGACCUCUUGACCUUUGCCACAUUUUGUUGCGUUACCCUUAUUCUAAAAUGGAUUCAAUUGUUCCCCCCUCAACUACACACAAUACCCCAUAAUGACAAAGCAAUUUUUUUUAAAACAAUUUAUUAAAAGAUAUUGCAUUUAACAUAAGUAUUCAGACCCUUUACUCAGUACUUUGUUGAAACACCUUUGGCAGCGAUUAUAGCCUAGAGUCUUCUUGGGUAUGAUGCUACAAGCUUGGCACACCUGUAUUUUAGGAGUUUUUCCCAUUCUUCUCUGCAGAUCCUCUCAAGCUCUGUAAGGUUGCAUGUGGAGCGCUGCACCGCUAUUUUCAGGUCUCUCCAGAGAUGUUUGAUUUGGCUCAAGUCCAGGCUCUGGCUGGGCCACUCAAGGACAUUAAGAAACUUGUCUUGUAGCCAUCUCUGCAUUGUCUUGGCUGUGUGCUUAGGGUCGGUGUCCUGUUGGAAGGUGAACCUCAGCCCCAGUCAGGUAUUUGGGGCUCUGGAGCAGGUUUUCAUCAAGGUUCUCUCUGUACUUUGCUCUGUUCAUCUUUCCCCUCAAUCCUGACUAGUCUCCCAGUCCCAGCCGUCCAGCAAUAGGAAGAGUCUUGGUGGUUCCAAACUAUUUAAGAAUGAUGGCGGCCACUAUGUUCUUCAAAUUAAAAAAAUUCAUCAAACGUUAUUUGUCACGUGCCGAAUACAACAACUGUAGACCUUACCGUGAAAUGCUUACUUACAAGCCCUUAACCAACAGUGCAGUACAGUUCAAGAAGAGUUAAGAAAAUAUUGACCAAAUAAACAAGUAAAAAAUAAUAAAAAGUAACACAAUAAAAUAACAAUAACAAGGCUAUAUACAGGGGGUACCGGUACAGAGUCAGUGUGCGGGGGUGCAGGUUAGUUGAGGUAAUUUGUACAUGUAGGUAGGGGUGAAGUGACUAUGCAUAGAUAAUAAACAGCAAGUACCAGCAGUGUACAAAACAAAUUGAGGGGUAGGGGUGUCAAUAUGUAUAGUCUGGUGGCCAUUUGAUUAACUGUUCAGCAGUCUAAUGGCUUGGGGGUAGAAGCUGUUAAGGAGACUUUUGGUCCUAGACUUGGCGCUCUGGUACCACUUGCUGUGCGGUAGCAGAGAAAACAGUCUGACUUGGAUGACUGGAGUCUCUGACAAUUUUAUGGGCUUUCUACUGACACCACCUAUUAUAUAGGUCCUGGAUGGCAGGAAGCUUGUAGCGCCUUACAGUCAGAUGCCGAGCAGUUGCCAUACCAGGCGGUGAUGCAACCGGUCAGGAUGCUCUCAAUGGUGCAGCUGUAGAACUUUUUGAGGAUCUGGGGACCCAUGCCAAAUCUUUUCAGUCCCUUGAGAGGGAAAAGGUUUUGCCAUGCCCUCUUCACGACUGUUUUGGUGUGUUUGGACCAUGACAGUUUGUUGGUGAUGUGGACACCAAGGAACUUGAAACUCUCAACCCACUCCACUACAGCCCCGUCGAUGUUAAUGAGGGCCUGUUCGGCCCGCCUUUUCCUGUAGUCCACGAUCAGCUCCUUUGUCUUGCUCACAUUGAGGGAGAGGUUGUUGUCCUGGACCCACACUGCCAGUUCUCUGACCUCCUCCCUAUAGUCUCAUCAUUGUCGGUGAUCCGGCCUACCACUGUUGUGUCGUCAGCAAACUUAAUGAUGGUGUUGGAGUUGUGUUUGGCCACAGUCGUGGGUGAACAGGGAGUACAGGAGGGGACUAAGUACACACCCCUGAGGGGCCCUCGUGUUGAGGAUCAGCGUGGCGGAUGUGUUGUUACUUACCCUUACCACCUGGGGGCGGCCCGUCAGGAAGUCCAGGAUCCAGUUGCAGAGGGAGGUGUUUAGUCCCAGGGUCCUUAUCUUAAUGAUGAGGUUCAUGGGCACUAUGGUGUUGAACACCUUUUCAACAUGUAGCAUUUCACUAUCCCUCGGUUGACAAGAAACCGCCACUAGUCGUGGUGGCUCUACUACCAUUGCUUCUUCCCCGACACUCGUUCCUUCCAAUCUUCUCACUGCCUCCAGAUAAGAGACACGCUGGACGCUCCUUACCCUUGCCACCUCAUUCACCUCCACCAUAACAGAGAGACUCUUCAUCAAAGAACAGUAGCAAGGAUGAAGUGACAUUUUUUCCGUCCACCGUACAGGUCAGUCACCGUGCACCAACCACUUUAUUUCUUGCUCCACACCAGAAAUAACCCCAUUGAUAGGCGCCCUGCUACGAAAAUCCACGCAGGAAACAUUCCACUUCAAUAACUUUUUGAGUCUUAACACACGCUUCUUCUGCUCUGCAGACACACAAAUCAAAAACCACUUCUGUGACUCUCACCGACUCAAACUUUCUUCCAACACAUCCCAGAUAUUCCUGGAUAUGUUAAACAGAUUUCCCAAGUAGCAUUGAUCCUAAACCCUGACUGGUGGUUUCUUUUUUUCCAACAUAGCUUCAUUUCUCAUGGCUUUACUUCUCCCUUUGCCACUUGUAAACCCACCAAUUCUCACUUUCUGUACCUUUAGCUUCACUCGACUCACUAGCAGUUUCAAUCAAAACCUCAGUUUCCGCCAUUUCCGUCUACAACCAAUGCCUAAGUCUCCCGCUCCAACAAAGAGCCACUUUCCUUUCUCUGACAUGCACUGUCAACUGUGGGACCUUAUAUAGACAGGUGUGUGCCUUUCCAAAUAAUGUCCAAUCAAUUGAAUUUACCACAGGUCGACUAGAAUUAAGUUGUAGAAACAUCUUACGGACAAUGAAUGGGAACAGGAUGCAGCUGAGCUCAAUUUCGAGUCUCAUAGCAAUGGGUCUGAAUACUUAUGUAAAUAAGGUAUUUCAGUUCCUGUUUUUGCUUUGUCAUUAAUGAGGAAAACAUUUUUAAAAUCAAUUUUAGGAUAAGGCUGUGCCGUAACAAAAUGUGGAAAAAGUCAAGGGGUCUGAAUACUGUAUGCACUGUAUAUAUCAAGUUCGCAAGGCAUAUGAACUAAAAGGUUAUAAUGCAAACGACGCAAUUAUCACAACACAGGUUUUAACAUGUUUUUUCUUUCUGGCUUGGCUUCCCCAGUGAUUUUAUCCACGCACCGCAACUGUCCUUGAAAGAAAUUAUAUUAAAAGGAUGAAUGACUUUUAACAAGUAUCAAAUCUGAUUUCAUUCAUCACAUGCUUCGUUUGAAACAGAUGUAGACUAACAGUGAAAUGCUUACUUGUGGGCCCUUCCCAACAAUGUAAAUAGAAAAGGUAAUAACACGUAAUAAUAUAAGCUAUAAUAACUACACAAUGAGUGAUAACUUGACUAAAUACAGGGGUACCAUUACCGAGUCGAUGUGCAGGGGUACGAGGUAAUUCAGGUAGAUACAGUUUAAGUCAGAAGUUUACAUACACUUAGGUUGGAGUCAUUAAAACUCAUUUUUCAACGACUCCACAAAUUUCUUGUUAACAAACUAUAGGAAAAGGUAAGCUUUAACUUCCUGACUGAUGUCUUGAGAUGUUGCUUCAAUAUAUCCACAGAAUUCUCCUCCCUCAUGAAGCCAUCUAUUUUGUGAAGUGCACCAGUCCCUCCUGCAGCAAAGCACCCCCACAAAAUCAUGCUGCCACCCCCGUGCUUCACGGUUGGGAUGGUGUUCUUUGGCUUGCAAGCCUCCCCCUUUUUCCUCCAAACAUAACGAUGGUCAUUAUGGACAAACAGUUCUAUUUUUGUUUCAUCAGACCAGAGGACAAUUCUCCAAAAAGUUCAAUCUUUGUCCCCAUGUGCAAACAAUAGUCUGGCUUUUUUUUAUGGCGGUUUUGGUGCUUCUUCCUUACUUAGCGAUAUUCUGGUUAUGUCGAUAUAGAACUCGUUUUACUGUGGAUAUAGAUACUUUUGUACCUGUUUCCUCCAGCAUCUUCACAAGGUCCUUUGCUGUUGUUCUGGGAUUGAUUUGCACUUUUCACACCAAAGGACGUUCAUCUCUAGGAGACAGAACACGUCUUCUUCCUGUGCGGUAUGACGGCUGCGUGGUCCCAUGGUGUUUAUACUUGCGUACUAUUGUUUGUAGAGAUGAAUGUGGUACCUUCAGGCGUUUGGAAAUUGCUCCCAAGGAUGAACCAGACUUGUGGAGGUCUACAAUUGUUUUUCUGAGGUCUUGGCUGAUUUCUUUUGAUUUUCCCAUGAUGUCAAGCAAGGAGGCACUAAGUUUGAAGGUAGGCCUUGAAAUACAUCCACAGGUACACCUCCAAUUGACUCAAAUGAUGUCAAUUAGCCUAUCAGAAGCUUAUAAAGCCAUGACAUCAUUUUCUGGAAUUUUCCAAGCUGUUUAAAUGCACAGUCAACUUAGUGUAUGUAAACUUCUGACCCACUGGAAUUGUGAUACAGUGAAUUAUAAGUGAAAUCAUCUGUAAACAAUUUUUGGAAAAAUGACUUGUGUCAUGCACUUAGUAGAUGUCCUAACCGACUUGCCAAAACUAUAGUUUGUUAACAAGAAAUUUGUGGAGUGGUUAAAAAACAAGUACGGUAUCAAGGGACUAUCCUCUCAGUCACCAGUGCCAUAUGUUAGGUAAUGGUCCAGCCAGGGUAUAUGAGGUCAUCUUCUGAAUGGAAUGUAGGUACCUCGUAUCUGAAAAGUCUUAAUCUGAAAAGUUUUCAUUUGAAAACAGGGUCCCUACCAAAUGUGUUCCUGACAUGGAUGUAAUGUUUUUUGUUGUCUGGCGCCCUCCACUGUAUGAAGUAGGCUAAGUAGGUUACUGUAUGUCCAAAUUCACAGAUAAGUCACUCUCAGAACCAUCUCUGGUAUGUCUCGAGAGCAUAUCCAAAUGCACAAAACUAGUAGAAAGUAUUUACUACUGUCAUCAUUCUAAUAGCAUUGUUUGGAAAGUCACUCUGCACGGGUCCCACCUGGUUCAGAUCUGUACUCACAGAGAUCAUUAAAUGUGGCCGAGCCCUAGUGUGAAUGGCCUCUUAUUUGCCAAUCAAUCUGGCAGAACCCUAUUGCUGCCCUGUACAGUAUCUAGAAAAGCCAAGCAGAGAAAGACUAUCUUCAAGAAAGAUAGUCAUGUGAAACAGGAACCCAUUUAGACUCUGUUAAAAAAUGGAACCGUGAAAAGGGAGAGGGAGGACCCACAGAACAGGUUUUUCCUUUGAUGAAGAUGGAGCCCUGCAGAACCUCAAUCUGCAUCCUGGGGACUCUGGAGAGAACCUGUGUAAUGGGGAAACGGCAGCUAAAGUAACAGUGUUGACAGAUCACCUCAAAAUCCAGAGUACCACUGCUGUUAUGAAAACAGAUGUUGUUGGGAGAGAGAACAAAGAGACAGGCCCUACAAAUGUGACAGGACACAAGCAGGAAGGAGCUCCAGACUAGGUGCUUGUCAAAUCUAGGGUCUGAGAUCACACAGGGUGAUGGGGAAGGAGUGAGUACAAAUGAAUACAUCUCACUGUAAACUGAAAGUAUUGCUGAAAUGAAUGGUUGUGUCUCAGGGCCCUUCUCAUGUGGAAGACACUGAGGUUCAUUUUGCAUCUCUGGGUCGGCAGAACUGGAGGGAAAGAUCGAGGCUACAGGGAGACCUGCAUCACGUCAUCUAAUCCGCUGUGGUCACUGCUAGACCAGCAUUCCAGGGUUUGAAGAGAAUAACUCAUUGAUUAACCACACAGUUCGUAUUUGACUAGUGUUGCACAGGUGACAUCUUCCUGGGCCAAUCCUUGCACUCCCUGAGCAGUGGGGCGGGCCUUACCAGUGUGCUUCAGACUGCCAUAUUGCAGACCCACUUCCUGUGGAAAACAUAUCCAUCAUAAUUAGAGAUGAAAUAUUACCAUCAUGCCAUCCAAACCUCUCGGCCGUACAUUUACAGUUAGAUAAGGUUUAGUCCUAACUGUUAUGACUCAAUCAUUUACAGAAGUACUUUUACCUUGAGACUUGAAUUCCGGUUCACACAGGUGUUGCACAAACAUGUUGUUUUACCUGAAAGAGGGAACAAUUUAGUUUUAAAGAGGCAAUCUGCAGUUCAAACAAUAAGAAAAGGUAACCCCACCACUGCUUUGGUAAAUAGGUGAGCAAUGGGUCUGGAGAGAUGGAACCACUCUCAAAUUCAUAGGCAGAGCUACGGAUGCAAGGACUGACCAUCCAUGAGAUCAAAUUAUAUUUUCAUCAUGUUUUGAGGAUAUACUGUGUUUGUUACAAUUACAGUGUUUAUAAACAUUGGAGUAAAACAAUCUUAUAUUUGGGGUUUUGAUGGGGUAGGACAGUUGAACUAAGCACAUGAGGCAUUUAUAAGUGAUAUUCUUCAAUAAUCAAUGGUGACAUAUUAUUACUUUUAAAGGAAAAAAAUGCAUGAAUCAACUGCAGAUUUGCAAUAGACUAACUCUGGUUUUGGAGCAUAAUGUCUCUUUAAGUAAACUUGUCAAACUUCAGAUACGCUCAAAGUAUUAACUGUUUGAUUGUGUUUACAUUUACCAUUCAACCAUAACAAGAAUGGGGAUUACCAAGAUUUGUACAUUAUCUUUCUAUGUUUACAAUACACUGUCUUACUUGCCUUUCUUGUCACUGCAGCAGGAAGUGAAUGCAAAGUUAAAAUUACACUCCACAGCACAGUCUAUGUAUAGAAAGUACAAGAGCAGAGACCGUUGUGCUGAUCACACACGGGAAGGAUUUUUUCAUUCAGAUUUACGAGUUUUUCUGCCUUCUUGCUCUCACUAUGCCAAACGUAAAUCUCAUCUUGGAGGCUCUGUCUACUGUCUCGGGUUGCAAGGUGGAAUCAGCCACCAUGGGAACACUUUCACUAACCCCACAGGACUUUGUCAAUGUGGUCGCACUAAAGGAGUUCAACUCACAAGAGGGCUUUCUAGAGCUGGAAUACCCAAAUUUGGGGACAUUUUCUUUACCACGUGCCUUAGAUUUACCAGAUGCUUUUCCAUUCCACAAACCACUGUUUCUGUGAACACGAAUGAGUUCCUUGAUUCUCGGUAUGACUACGACCUUACAAAUGUUAAGUAUGGGGAAACCAUGUUUACUCGGGGGAAAGGAGCUGUAUGUAUGCCAGACACUGUGGCUGGAACCACAUUGCCCUGAAGGUUUUUAACAAAUACAGGGAUGGAGAUGGAUGGUUGGGGACCGGAGACGAGGCUUGGCCAGUGUCCUUCUACAGACCUGCUAUGGACGGAUCCCAGGGCAUCAUCAGGAAUGAUGGAGCUGGUGCUACUUUAGGAAGAGGAGUCUACUCAACACUGGACAUUAACAUAGCUGAGUAGUUCUCCAAGAGAUUAAUGUCCAAAGUAGAUAACAAAACCUACAAGGUGGUGCUACAGAAUAGGAUCAACCCCCAGAAAUGGAGAGAGAGUUACUGGCUGGUCUAUGUGCCUGAGGAAUCAUCUCCGGUUCAAGAGAGCUAUUGUGGAAAGGAAGUGUUGUAAUGCAUUAAGACAAUGUUUGAAAGAUAAGUAAAUAAUAUAUAAUAAUAAUAUAUGCCAUUUAGCAGACGCUUUUAUCCAAAGCGACUUACAGUCAUGUGUGCAUACAUUCUACGUAUGGGUGGUCCCGGGAAUCGAACCCACUACCCUGGCGUUACAAGCGCCAUGCUCUACCAACUGAGCUACAGAAGGACCAAAUAGGUUGAUCAGAAAAUGAAGAGAUGUAUCAUCAGAUCAAUACUAUACAUUUCUAUAUCAACUAAAUAACCAGGUUUAUUUGUUUUAGUCAUAGGAUUAGCAUAAGAUUGAGUUUUUAUCCAGUGUAGAUAUAGCCUUUACCUGAUAGGCCACUAUUAUGGAUGUGUGUUCAAGGGUAAUAAAAUGACCUAAAAUAAGAGCGCAUUUUUUAUUUACAUUAUACUUUAUUUCCAGUGACUCCGCCUUAUCUAACCACAUAUUUUAAAUCAGUUAUCCUGUCUGGGAACGGGGUUCCGCUAGAUGAUACUCCUGGGACAACAUGUUACACAAUACAUGUAUGUUUUGUUCGAUCAAGUUAAUAUUUAUAUCCAAAAACCUCAGUUUACAUUUGGCUUUGCCUCCAAAACAUCCCGUGAAUUUGCACAGAGCCACAUCAAUUUAUAGAAAUACUCAUAAUAAACUUUGAUAAAUUGUACAAUUAUUAUGCACAGAAUUAUAGACAUACUUCUCCUUAAUGCAACCGCUUUGUCAGAUUUCAAAAAAGCUUUACGAAAAAAGCAAAUCAUGCAAUAAUCUGAGUAUGGCGCUCAGAGACCAAAACAAGCAAAACAGAUAUCUGCCAUGUUGUGUAGUGAACAGAAGUCAGAAUAGCAUUAUAAAUAUUCACUUACCUUUGAUGAUCUUCAUCAGAAUGCACCAAAGAAAUCCCAGUUCCACAAUAAAUGUUUGUUCAGUUUGAUUAAAGUACAUAAUUUAUGUCCAAAUACCUCC